UACGAAGGGGGCUAGCGUUGCUCGGAAUGACUGGGCGUAAAGGGCGCGUAGGCGGCUCAUACAGUCAGAUGUGAAAUUCCUGGGCUUAACCUGGGGGCUGCAUUUGAUACGUGUGGGCUUGAGUGGGGAAGAGGGUCGUGGAAUUCCCAGUGUAGAGGUGAAAUUCGUAGAUAUUGGGAAGAACACCAGUGGCGAAGGCGGCUCACUGGCCCGAUACUGACGCUGAGGCACGAAAGCGUGGGGAGCAAACAGG
rnacentral:rRNA from 1 species